rnacentral:lncRNA from 1 species
GUCUGUAUUUCCGCCGGCGCGAAACGAGCGUAGCUUCCUUGUCGUGUGGCCUCAGUCCUUCGCCGUCCCUCGCCGUCCUUCGCCAUCGCACGCCACCGCACCCCAUCUCUCGAAAUCUGCAGACAUCUUGAUUUUUCCCACGCUGUCUGUCAGGUCUCCGCCGCCACUCGACGCCAGGGCGCCGGGUGAGUCCACAGCAGGGCGCAUGGUCGGCUCCACUCUCACCAUCGGGGGAAACUGAGGCCCCGGGGAAGGCGGCCAGAGAGGUCAGGCCCUGUCCUUGGUGCAGUGUCUCGUCCUCUUUGCCGGAGUGAGCCCCCCAGGAUUCGCGUGUCCUCGGGAAAGACACUGGCAGGCCUUGUGGGCUGUGCUGCACCUCGGACGGCUUCGCACCAGCCAGCGCCCUCUCUCUCCUGCAGCACUCUGAUCUGCACCCCCUGAGGGGCUUCCACUGUCCGCGGGGUGAGAAUGCCCCUGGGAGUGUCACAUGACUGCCGCCCCAUGUGUGUGAGAGGCGUCCUCUGGGAGAGCAUGGAUCCUGAGGUCCCAGGAUUGUCAGCUGACCUCUGUCCUGUGUGCCCAGUGGCCCCAGGUGACGUGUCUUCAAGAAGAGGCUGAGCUGCGGUGCUUGUAAGGGUCUCAUUCUGUCACCCAGGCUGGAGUGCAGUGGUGCAAUGAUGGCUCACUGCAGCCUCGACCUGGGCUCAAGUGAUCCUCCACCUCAGCUUCCUGAGUAGCUGGGACCACAGGUCUCAGCCUUAGAUCCAAGGACAGUCCAAGGAAGUCCUAAGACCAUGGAGUUGGUGAUCUGGGAUCUGGGUUUGCUGAUAUUUCUCACCGUGAAUCUCUUGGUGGUGUUUGUGGGCACGAGAGGGGCAGAGAAUGGAGAGUGAGGCUACCACAUGAAGCGUCACCAGAGCUGCUCCCUGCUGCCUGCUCAGAGCACCCCGGAUCCACUGUUCAAUCUGCACAAGAUUCGGGGUCCAGACAUGGGAGACUUCAGCUGCCUCAGAGGACCGUGGACAGGGAAGGCCAGCCUCGCAUCCCUCUGUCCAUGCCUGGAAUGACUUUAAUAACCAAGAGUUUUAUUUUUGAAUUUGUAGCUGUCGUUCACUUUUUACCCACCCAUUCAAUAAACCUUACAGAAUUGCUCCA